rnacentral:rRNA from 1 species
GAUGAACGCUGGCGGCGUGCUUAACACAUGCAAGUCGAACGGAAAGGCCCAAGCUUGCUUGGGUACUCGAGUGGCGAACGGGUGAGUAACACGUGGGUGAUCUGCCCUGCACUUCGGGAUAAGCCUUGGAAACUGGGUCUAAUACCGGAUAGGACGAUGGUUUGGAUGCCAUUGUGGAAAGUUUUUUCGGUGUGGGAUGAGCUCGCGGCCUAUCAGCUUGUUGGUGGGGUAAUGGCCUACCAAGGCGUCGACGGGUAGCCGGCCUGCGAGGGUGUACGGCCACAUUGGGACUGAGAUACGGCCCAGACUCCUACGGGAGGCAGCAGUGGGGAAUAUUGCACAAUGGGCGCAAGCCUGAUGCAGCGACGCCGCGUGGGGGAUGACGGCCUUCGGGUUGUAAACUCCUUUCGCUAGGGACGAAGCGUUUUUGUGACGGUACCUGGAGAAGAAGCACCGGCUAACUACGUG